GACGAACGCUGGCGGCGUGCCUAAUACAUGCAAGUAGAACGCUGAAGGAGGAGCUUGCUUCUCUGGAUGAGUUGCGAACGGGUGAGUAACGCGUAGGUAACCUGCCUGGUAGCGGGGGAUAACUAUUGGAAACGAUAGCUAAUACCGCAUAAUAGUAGAUGUUGCAUGACAUUUGCUUAAAAGGUGCAAUUGCAUCACUACCAGAUGGACCUGCGUUGUAUUAGCUAGUUGGUGGGGUAACGGCUCACCAAGGCGACGAUACAUAGCCGACCUGAGAGGGUGAUCGGCCACACUGGGACUGAGACACGGCCCAGACUCCUACGGGAGGCAGCAGUAGGGAAUCUUCGGCAAUGGACGGAAGUCUGACCGAGCAACGCUGCGUGAGUGAAGAAGGUUUUCGGAUCGUAAAGCUCUGUUGUAAGAGAAGAACGAGUGUGAGAGUGGAAAGUUCACACUGUGACGGUAUCUUACCAGAAAGGGACGGCUAACUACGUG
rnacentral:rRNA from 1 species